AUUGAACGCUGGCGGCAGGCCUAACACAUGCAAGUCGAGCGGUUGACGGGAGCUUGCUCCCUGAUUCAGCGGCGGACGGGUGAGUAAUGCCUAGGUAUCUGCCUAUUAGUGGGGGACAACGCUUCGAAAGGAACGCUAACACCGCAUACGUCCUACGGGACAAAGCAGGGGACCUUCGGGCCUUGCGCUAAUAGAUGAGUCUAGGUCGGAUUAGGUUGUUGGUGAUGUAAUGGCUCACAAAGGCGACAAUCCGUAACUGGUCUGAGAGGAUGGUCAGGCACACUGGAACUGAGACACUGUCCAGACUCCUACGGGAGGCAGCAGUGGGGAAUAUUGGACAAUGGGCGAAAGCCUGAUCCAGCCAUGCAGCGUGUGUGAAGAAGGUCUUCGGAUUGUAAAGCACUUUAAGUUGGGAGGAAGGGUUGUAGAUUAAUACUCUGCAAUUUUGACGUUACCGACAGAAUAAGCACCGGCUAACUCUGUGCCAGCAGCCGCCGUAAUAC
rnacentral:rRNA from 1 species